AUGCUGGAGGUAUCAGAAGUGCGAAUGCUGACAUAAGUAACGAUAAAGCGGGUGAAAAGCCCGCUCGCCGGAAGACCAAGGGUUCCUGUCCAACGUUAAUCGGGGCAGGGUGAGUCGACCCCUAAGGCGAGGCCGAAAGGCGUAGUCGAUGGGAAACAGGUUAAUAUUCCUGUACUUGGUGUUACUGCGAAGGGGGGACGGAGAAGGCUAUGUUGGCCGGGCGACGGUUGUCCCGGUUUAAGCGUGUAGGCUGGUUUUCCAGGCAAAUCCGGAAAAUCAAGGCUGAGGCGUGAUGACGAGGCACUACGGUGCUGAAGCAACAAAUGCCCUGCUUCCAGGAAAAGCCUCUAAGCAUCAGGUAACAUCAAAUCGUACCCCAAACCGACACAGGUGGUCAGGUAGAGAAUACCAAGGCGCUUGAGAGAACUCGGGUGAAGGAACUAGGCAAAAUGGUGCCGUAACUUCGGGAGAAGGCACGCUGAUAUGUAGGUGAGGUCCCUCGCGGAUGGAGCUGAAAUCAGUCGAAGAUACCAGCUGGCUGCAACUGUUUAUUAAAAACACAGCACUGUGCAAACACGAAAGUGGACGUAUACGGUGUGACGCCUGCCCGGUGCCGGAAGGUUAAUUGAUGGGGUUAGCGCAAGCGAAGCUCUUGAUCGAAGCCCCGGUAAACGGCGGCCGUAACUAUAACGGUCCUAAGGUAGCGAAAUUCCUUGUCGGGUAAGUUCCGACCUGCACGAAUGGCGUAAUGAUGGCCAGGCUGUCUCCACCCGAGACUCAGUGAAAUUGAACUCGCUGUGAAGAUGCAGUGUACCCGCGGCAAGACGGAAAGACCCCGUGAACCUUUACUAUAGCUUGACACUGAACAUUGAGCCUUGAUGUGUAGGAUAGGUGGGAGGCUUAGAAGUGUGGACGCCAGUCUGCAUGGAGCCGACCUUGAAAUACCACCCUUUAAUGUUUGAUGUUCUAACGUUGACCCGUAAUCCGGGUUGCGGACAGUGUCUGGUGGGUAGUUUGACUGGGGCGGUCUCCUCCUAAAGAGUAACGGAGGAGCACGAAGGUUGGCUAAUCCUGGUCGGACAUCAGGAGGUUAGUGCAAUGGCAUAAGCCAGCUUGACUGCGAGCGUGACGGCGCGAGCAGGUGCGAAAGCAGGUCAUAGUGAUCCGGUGGUUCUGAAUGGAAGGGCCAUCGCUCAACGGAUAAAAGGUACUCCGGGGAUAACAGGCUGAUACCGCCCAAGAGUUCAUAUCGACGGCGGUGUUUGGCACCUCGAUGUCGGCUCAUCACAUCCUGGGGCUGAAGUAGGUCCCAAGGGUAUGGCUGUUCGCCAUUUAAAGUGGUACGCGAGCUGGGUUUAGAACGUCGUGAGACAGUUCGGUCCCUAUCUGCCGUGGGCGCUGGAGAACUGAGGGGGGCUGCUCCUAGUACGAGAGGACCGGAGUGGACGCAUCACUGGUGUUCGGGUUGUCAUGCCAAUGGCACUGCCCGGUAGCUAAAUGCGGAAGAGAUAAGUGCUGAAAGCAUCUAAGCACGAAACUUGCCCCGAGAUGAGUUCU
rnacentral:rRNA from 1 species